CGCGGAGCACCGGGACGCGGAGCACCGGGACGCGGCGCAGGCUCCGGCCGCGCAGCAGCGCUGCAGACCCGGCUUGAAUCGGAGGAGAGAAGCGGCGGCAGCAUCUGGAGGAUGCUCUGGGGUUUCCCAGCAGCCCCGUGAAGAUGAGUGUGACGUCAUGGUUCCUGGUGAGCAGCUCGGGGUCGAGACACCGUCUGCCCAAGGAGAUGAUCUUUGUGGGCCGAGAGGACUGUGAGCUCAUGCUGCAGUCUCGCAGCGUUGACAAACAACACGGAGUCAUCAACUACAACCCCACCACGGACCAGCACCUGGUGAAGGACCUGGGCAGCCU